UCCCAUGUUUCUUAUAUAAGGUUAAUUAUACCUUGUAUCAUUUAAUACAAUAGCAUGUUCAAUAAAAGCAUACCUAACAGAACAAUCUCUUGCCUGGCUCUUUCAUGGUAUCUAAGUUGUCUCAGCAGACUGUGGGCAAUAUCAAUAUUUUCCAUUUUGGUUCCAGAGGAGAGAUGAGGACAAUAUCAAUGUGUGAAGCAAGGUUCAGUUUUGAUGCAACUUUAAAAAACACCCCUCUUAUAUAGGUACUGUCUUUAUUUGGAGUUACUCAUGGACUCUCAUCAAUCAAACUCUUGAGGUCAAAAUUGGGUGAUUAGCCUACGGAGAUCAAAGGAGGACUCCCCUGUGUAAACACUGGUCUAUAGUCCACAGCUUGAUUGUUUAAUUACAGACCUAAAUGAGUGCAUUAGUGUAACUUGUUUGUUACCCUGGAAUUUAAUGAUGGUCAAUUUCAUACAAUUAUGUUUGAGCAAUUUUAACACAUUAAAGAAUGUAACGUGGAGUUAUACUUAGUUAUUUUUAUAAGUGUUAAAAAAUAUAGCGUCUGUGGGUUUUUUUUUUUUUGUUUUUUUUUUUUUAUAUAAUUGAAUUUAAUUAAUACUUUAGUAAUAUGUUCAGAAAUAUAUUAUAGAAAGCAAAAGAUUUUAAAAAUGCAUUUAAGGUAGAGACCGAUAGCAACCACGUGAUCAGUAAAAAUCGUGUAUUUUCACGUGAAAUUAUUUUUCGGAAUUCCGUACAUCGCCAUAGAGUAGUUGAAAAACAAAAAGGGGUUCCGAAAGUACAAGUUGUUGCUGUGACUGAUGAUUGAGAGGGUCGUCUCAACAAAAGAUAUAGAAAUUUGGCCAUAUUUUAGAUUAGGAAUACGUCAAUGUAAUAAUAGUGGACUAAAUGUUUCGUCCGUGCAGAAUGGCACUUUUUACCUCACGAAAUUCACCACCAUGCAUAGCUUUGCUACGUAAACAAACUUGUUGAUGUAGCGUGAUCGUGAUGUCCGAGUGCUGCGAGUUUCAAUACUGUUUAUGUAGUCAUUGAGAGUUUAAACAAAGUUUCUUCUGAGAAGAGGAAUUCGAUGGAUGCAUUCAACGUGGACAACGAAAUCAUAAUUUCGUUUGGUAUGAUGUUCCUGGUGUGUGGGGAAUAAAUUGUGUUCUGCAGAAUGGUGUAGGAGGAGGGGGAUAGCCUCUAAGGAGUGACCCUCAUGUAAAGGGAAAAUCUAGUAUACAUGUUAAAAAACUUUCAUCUGUAGAUUGUAAUUAAGCCACAAGAAUUCUUUAUUUUUAUUCUGAUCGAUUUUAUAUACUGUAAACAUAAUUGAAAUUUUGUGAAACAAUCUGACAUGAAAUUAUAUUGGGAUUUUAUAUAAUUUGAUAUCCAGUUCAAGUUCAAACAGAAAACUAAAUAGAGUACAUAUGACUUUCUUGUAGGGGAAAGCCAUGGGAUAGAUGCUUUUGGACUUUGAAAUACAAAAUGUGCCCAACUUGGUGGAAAAAAUUGAAGAGAAAUACAGAAGAUAGUGUAUGAUUGUGAAAUGAUGGGGAACAAACAUUAUAUUUACAUUUUAAAAAAAAUACAAAACAAUGUGGUGGGAUUGUGAAAUGAUGGUUGCAUUUAAGAAAAAUACAAAAGAGUGUGUGUGGUGUGAUUGUGAUUUGUAUUCAAAUGAUGGGAAACAAACAGUAUAUUUAUAUUGAAAUGAUAUCUAGAUGAACUGUGAUAUGUAAUGUGUGUUGAGAUAUGUAUGAUGAAUUAAUGAUAUGUACGAAUGGUAUCAUUGACCAUUGAAUCGUUAUCAUUGUACAUUUAUAUAGUGCUUUAUCUAAGUAAGAUAAUUACCCUAAAGUGCUUUUCAUGAAAAAUAAACUACAAAGAACAAUAGAUACAUAGAAAAGGGCAUAAAAUAAUACUAAAACUGAGGUUAACAUAGUAACUGUGAAAAGGCAAAAACUACAUAAGUUUGGGGUUUUUUGUUUUUUUUUGUAAAUAUAUAUGAAGGUUGAUGAAAUUUUAAUCAUAGACAGCCUACAAUUAAAAUACAGUGUGUGUAUUUCAGGCACAGAGUACCUUGCAAGCCAUGUCAGUGGUGUCUUGAAUGCUUCCAGUUAUGUUUCAUUGUAUAUCAUUCACUUCUACAGACAUUUAAACUACAAGAAAUUGUGUGAGAAAAUCAUUUAUUUAAAAAAACAUUUCAUUUUUUUUUAUUUUUCUGUGAAGUGUUGCAAAGUAUGUUGCUGUUCAAUGCAACAUGGCUCAGGCCUCCAAAAAAUAAUCUUUACAUUCUCAGGCCAAAAACUGCAACAUUUAAUGAAGCAGGCAUUUUUUUCCAGCUGUAGCAUUAGUUACCUUUUCUUUCUUUCAACAUAAACAUUUUAUAUAGGAAUACCAACUGAAUAUUACUUUUUGUAUGCUUUUAAAUCGCUCACUAUAAAAGUAAAUAAUGUUCAAUGAUAGUUCAUUAUUCAUUAAGAUAAUGAUUUUUACCAAAAAUUGAAUUUCAUGAAAAGGUAAAGAGAAAAUUGGGUGCCUGAGAAAUUAUUAAAGAUGGGGGAUGGGGUGGGCAUCAGAUAUGUAAACAUGUUUUUAGGUUUUGUAUAAAAUAAUUGAUGCAUUACUAUCCAAUGAUUCCCCAUGUAUUCAAGAAAAUCAGUGCGAGUCUUAAAAUUUGUGUGUAUUUAUGAUGAAUGUCUAUUUCAAAAUUUACAUUUUAUUCAAACAACAAUGCUGAACAUGAAAGUGGUUUGUUUUUUUUUUUUGGUUUUUUUUUUUUUUUUUUUGAGAUUCCGUAAGAUCGAGUUAUUUCUUUUUGGAAUAGAAGAAAACAACAUGACUGAGAUGAACAUCGUGUCUGUCUGUAACAACUCGGGAUAUAUUUGGCAUUAAUGUACUUGGAUAAGACGUUUCCAUGAUUAUACCUCUUCUCUCAUCUUUAUCUGUAAAAGGGACUCAUUUCAAUAAAAAAUGACUAAAAUAAAGUUGUGUCAAUAUUUAUUUAUAGGGUACAAGAUGUCUCAUUCAAGAAUACUAGUACAUGUAGUUCCCAAGUGAAAAAAUCAUUGUAACUCAAUGUAUAAUUAUAGUAUUUUUCUAAUAAGAUGUGCAUCUCAUAAUGUGAUUACAUGUAUAUUAUUUUAUAUUUGUAAUUUCUUUUCCUCCUAUCUUCUCCUGUCCACUCACCUGUUGUUUAUCUUAUAUUGUGUAUACUCUUGUACAUGUACUAGAUGUAUUCCGAUGACUUGUAUAACUCAAGGACAAUAAAGAAUUGAACAAACUGA